UUCAUUUUUCUUUUUACCUCACAUUUUACUUUCAGUUUGUUUUUUGUUUUUUUUAUUUUACGUGCUAAAACAAUACGUAAAAGCAACAACGACACAUUGUUAGCUUCAGGCUGAAGAUAUUGGUUAUAUAUAUAAGAACAGUUUAGUCUUAUAUUUGUUGAAAUAUUCCAUAAAUCCAAGUAAAACAACCUCAAAUUUACCAGGAAUUCUUUAUAAAACAUUUCCGUGUGUAAUACGAAUCUGUUAAAGCUAGGCUCUUGCUACUUGCAAUGGCGUCAGGUGGCUAUCAGAGUCGCUCGCGAGCAUUCACCCCUGUUUAUGAUGUGAUUUCUCCACAGACUGGCGCCAAUUUCAGAAAUGGGUCAUCACACAACAAUACCUCAUCACAUUAUUUCAAGGGUGUCAAGAACGGCCUCCCUACAGGCAUUGGCAGGAACAGUAAUCAUGGGCCACGACCCGGACAGGCUAUCUGUAUUGGGGAAGAAGUGAAAAUUGCAGUUCAUAUGGCAAUCGAUAACUUCCGCAGUAAUGAAUGCCAGAAAGGUGAGUUUCCAAUAUUUGUAUUUUAUCUUUUGUCUUUUACUUGUUGCGGUCAUUUGUAGGCAAUACUUACCCAGAGAGUGCAAACCUCCACCAAGGCAACACCAACAUCCUCUCAACGAUUAGCUGGAGAUGAUUU